rnacentral:rRNA from 1 species
AGAGUUUGAUCCUGGCUCAGGACGAACGCUGGCGGCGUGCUUAAUACAUGCAAGUCGAACGGUUCAGUCGUCUGUCGUCAGACGUCGGACGUCGGGGUGAAAGCAAUGAUUCCGGGUUAAAACCCGAGGAGAAACGCAUAAAUCCUGACGACUGUUGCCUGACGACCGACGACUGAAUAGUGGCGGACGGGUGAGUAACACGUGAGCAACCUGCCUUGUACGGGAGGACAACAGUUGGAAACGGCUGCUAAUACUCCAUAAAACCGAGCCAGCACAUGCUGGAACGGUCAAAGGUUUUUAACCGGUACAAGAUGGGCUCGCGUCCCAUUAGCUAGUUGGCGGGAUAACAGCCCACCAAGGCGACGAUGGGUAGCCGGCCUGAGAGGGUGAACGGCCACACUGGGACUGAGACACGGCCCAGACUCCUACGGGAGGCAGCAGUCGGGAAUAUUGGGCAAUGGACGAAAGUCUGACCCAGCAAUGCCGCGUGAGUGAUGAAGGUCUUCGGAUCGUAAAGCUCUGUCUUUGGGGACGAAGAAAGUGACGGUACCCAAGGAGGAAGCCCCGGCUAACUACGUGCCAGCAGCCGCGGUAAUACGUAGGGGGCGAGCGUUGUCCGGAAUUACUGGGCGUAAAGGGCGAGUAGGCGGUUUAAUAAGUCAGAUGUGAAAUGCCAGGGCUCAACCCUGGAACUGCAUUUGAAACUAUUAGACUUGAGUGCAGGAGAGGAAAGUGGAAUUCCCAGUGUAGCGGUGAAAUGCGUAGAUAUUGGGAGGAACACCAGUGGCGAAGGCGACUUUCUGGACUGUAACUGACGCUGAGGUGCGAAAGCCAGGGGAGCAAACGGGAUUAGAUACCCCGGUAGUCCUGGCCGUAAACGAUGGGUACUAGGUGUAGGAGGUAUCGACCCCUUCUGUGCCGCAGUUAACACAAUAAGUACCCCGCCUGGGGAGUACGGCCGCAAGGCUGAAACUCAA